GACGAACGCUGGCGGCGUGCUUAACACAUGCAAGUCGAACGGUAAGGCCCUUCGGGGUACACGAGUGGCGAACGGGUGAGUAACACGUGGGUGAUCUGCCCUGCACUUCGGGAUAAGCCUGGGAAACCGGGUCUAAUACCGGAUAGGAUCACUGCCUGCAUGGGUGGUGGUGGAAAGCUUUUGCGGUGUGGGAUGGGCGCGCGGCCUAUCAGCUUGUUGGUGGGGUGAUGGCCUACCAAGGCGACGACGGGUAGCCGGCCUGAGAGGGUGACCGGCCACACUGGGACUGAGAUACGGCCCAGACUCCUACGGGAGGCAGCAGUGGGGAAUAUUGCACAAUGGGCGCAAGCCUGAUGCAGCGACGCCGCGUGAGGGAUGACGGCCUUCGGGUUGUAAACCUCUUUCAGCACCGACGAAGCGCAAGUGACGGUAGGUGCAGAAGAAGGACCGGCCAACUACGUGCCAGCAGCCGCAGUAA
rnacentral:rRNA from 1 species